AGCAGUUUAGCUUAAUGGGAGAGCACUUCACUAGAAAGCAAAGGGAUGUGAGUUCGAUUCUCAUGGCUGGUU
rnacentral:tRNA from 1 species